rnacentral:lncRNA from 1 species
AAGCAAAAGUGCCUUUAUCCAUGCAUCUGAACAUUUUGGUGAUGCUUUUGAGAGGAUCUGCGGAUGGCUGCCAUUUAUCGAGACAGAUGAACUCAUUUGCAGGAAAAGGAAAGGCAGAGAUACAAAGAUUGACAUUUCUACUGUGUGGUUUGAAGCUAUAAUGUAAAGCCCAGGGUCCCUCCUGUCCAUGGAAUGCUCAUCUGCUGUGGGGAUAAAUGAGAAUUCCAAACCAUAAGGAGAUAAUAUAUUUACUAAAAAGCUUCCCGAAUGUUCACAUGUAUCAUAAGAACAGGAGACACUGUGUUCAAAUGGCAGUACUCUUGGUAAAAGAAGACCUCAGUUAACUGAUGAAAGGCCAGAUAAAAAUAUUCACAUUCAAAGAGCUUUAAAGGUGUUUACUCUUAAACUGGGAUUGUCAGUAUGUGCUUUUUAGCUGCUGAGCACUGUAGCAGUGUAUCAUUUGCAUGUAUCUGCAUCAACAGACGUGCUAAAAUGAGUAUUUUCUAACUCCAGAAGCUCUCUAGGAUUCAGAAAUACCAACCAAGUUCUGAAAUUUCAUUGGAACUGCUUGAGAACAUUUGGAUAGAUUUAGCAAGACUUGAGAAGACAUAAGCCACCUGUCUGUCUGCUGGCCAGCAAAUGCUGGGAGAUGUUGAUGACUUACUGACAGCAACAAAAAUAAAGAAGCAAAUGCAUGAGAAGAAUAGAAUGAU